rnacentral:rRNA from 1 species
UACGUAGGGACCAAGCGUUGUUCGGAUUUACUGGGCGUAAAGGGCGCGUAGGCGGCGUGACAAGUCACUUGUGAAAUCUCCGGGCUUAACUCGGAACGGUCAAGUGAUACUGUUGUGCUAGAGUACAGAAGGGGCAAUCGGAAUUCUUGGCGUAGCGGUGAAAUGCGUAGAUAUCAAGAGGAACACCUGAGGUGAAGACGGGUUGCUGGGCCAACACUGACGCUGAGGCGCGAAAGCCAGGGGAGCAAACGGG